UGCCCUCUGGGCUCUCUGGUGAAUCAUGAUAACUGCUCGAAUCGCAGGGCCUCGUGCCGGCGAUGGUUCAUUCAAAUUUCUUCCCUAUCAACUUUCGAUGUUUGGGUAUUGGCCAAACAUGGUUACAACGGGUAACGGAGGGUUAGGGCUCGACCCCGGAGAAGGAGCCUGAGAGACGGCUACUACAUCCAAGGAAGGCAGCAGGCGCGCAAAUUACCCAAUCCCGACACGGGGAGGUAGUGACAAUAAAUACUGAUACAGGGCUCUUUCGGGUCUUGUAAUUGGAAUGAGUACAAUUUAAAUCCCUUAACGAGGAACAAUUGGAGGGCAAGUCUGGUGAACGCAGCCGCGGUAAUUCCAGCUCCAAUAGCGUAUAUUAAAGUUGUUGUGGUUAAAAAGCUCGUAGUUGAACCUUGGGCCUGGCUGGCCGGUCCGCCUCACCGCGUGUACUGGUCCGGCCGGGCCUUUCCCUCUGUGGAACCCCAUGCCCUUCACUGGGCGUGGCGGGGAAACAGGACUUUUACUUUGAAAAAAUUAGAGUGCUCCAGGCAGGCCUAUGCUCGAAUACAUUAGCAUGGAAUAAUAGAAUAGGACGUGCGGUUCUAUUUUGUUGGUUUCUAGGACCGCCGUAAUGAUUAAUAGGGACAGUCGGGGGCAUCAGUAUUCAAUUGUCAGAGGUGAAAUUCUUGGAUCUAUUGAAGACUAACUACUGCGAAAGCAUUUGCCAAGGAUGUUUUCAUUAAUCAGGAACGAAAGUUAGGGGAUCGAAGACGAUCAGAUACCGUCGUAGUCUUAACCAUAAACUAUGCCGACUAGGGAUCGGGCGAUGUUAUUUUUUGACUCGCUCGGCACCUUACGAGAAAUCAAAGUGCUUGGGCUCCA
rnacentral:rRNA from 2 species